GUGCUUGCUUCGGCAGCACAUAUACUGAAUAUUCAUUGGAAGGA
rnacentral:snRNA from 1 species